rnacentral:tRNA from 1 species
GCCCGGUUAGCUCAAUCGGUAGAGCGUGAGACUCUUAAGCCAGAAACAUCUCAAGGUUGCGGGUUCGACUCCCGCAUCGGGCU